rnacentral:rRNA from 1 species
AGUCUUACGGGGCGCAGCAGUGAGGAAUAUUGGUCAAUGGUCGGGAGACUGAACCAGCCAUGCCGCGUGCAGGAAGACGGCUCUAUGAGUUGUAAACUGCUUUUGUACGAGGGUAAACGCAGAUACGUGUAUCUGUCUGAAAGUAUCGUACGAAUAAGGAUCGGCUAACUCCGUGCCAGCAGCCGCGGUAAUACGGAGGAUUCAAGCGUUAUCCGGAUUUAUUGGGUUUAAAGGGUGCGUAGGCGGUCGGGUAAGUUAGAGGUGAAAUUCCGAGGCUCAACUUCGGACUUGCCUCUGAUAUUGUU